AAGAAUUGAAGGGGAUUACUAAAUGAUUUAGUUUUUUAGGGGUAAAAAAAUAAAUUUUUAUUUUAGUAAUAAAAUGAGAAAAUUAAGGGAGUUAUAGUUAAUUAGUAUUGCAAAAGAAUUCUUUUUUAGGGGUAAAAGAAGAAUUUUGUAUUUGUACCUUGUGUAUCAGGGUUUAUUAAUUAGUAUAAAGAAUGUGUUUUCUCGAAUUCAAAAGGGCUAAGAUUAUAAAUAUUUUAUUGUAAAAUAAAUAUUUAAAAUAUAAUUUUAGUAAUGAAACGUUAUUCGUUUUUGAUAUAUCUAGUUAUUUAAGAAAGAAAUUAAAUUUUUUUAUUUUUAAUAUUUAUUCAAUUUGGGGGUUUAAUGUUAAAAAUAAGCAAUUUUUUAGGGGAUGAGCUUUAAAGAAAAUAUAUAUAAAUUAUAAAUAUUAUAGAAAAAAUUAUAGGAUUAGAAGUGUCUACUUAUGUAAUAAUGUUAUAAUUGAUUUUAGGGGGAAUAAUAUUUAUAUAAUUUUUAUAUUUUUUAUUAAAUUGAGAUCUUGAAUUUUGAUUGAUGGGUAAUUAUGAUGGGAUUAGUAAUUUUAUGUUGUUGAGUUUAAUUUAUAAGGGGAGAUAAAUUAAAGGAAUUCGGCAAAAAAUUUUCUACCUGUUUAUUAAAAACAUGGCCUUUUGUUUAAAAUUUAAGGUCUGGCCUGCCCACUGAGGAUUUUAAAGGCCGCGGUAACUUGACCGUGCUAAGGUAGCAUAAUCAUUAGUUUUUUAAUUGAAAGCUGGAAUGAAUGGUCGGAUGAGAAAAUAGCUGUCUCUAGUUUAGCUUAAAUGAAUUUUAUUUUUAAGUAAAAAAGCUUAAAUUUUUUUGAAAGACGAGAAGACCCUAUAGAGUUUUAUAAUUUUUGGGCUUUAAAUUUUUUGUAUUUUGAUUUUGUAGUUUUAGAAUUAUUUGAUUGGGGUGAUUGAAAAAUUUGAUAAACUUUUUUUAAAUCGAUACAUUGAUUUAUGAGUAUUUGAUCCAUUGUUUAUGAUUAAAAGAUUAAAUUACCUUAGGGAUAACAGCGUAAUUUUUUUUGAGAGUUCAAAUCGAAAGGAGAGAUUGCGACCUCGAUGUUGGAUUAAAAUUAAGUUUUGGUGUAGAGGCUAAACAGUUUAGGUCUGUUCGACCUUUAAAAUUUUACAUGAUCUGAGUUUAAACCGGUGUGAGCCAGGUUGGUUUCUAUCUUUAAAGGAUUUACAUAUUUUAGUACGAAAGGACCAAAUAUGUAGUAAAUUGUUUUAUUCACGAAUGCCAGU
rnacentral:rRNA from 1 species